rnacentral:rRNA from 1 species
GACGAACGCUGGCGGCGUGCCUAAUACAUGCAAGUAGAACGCUGAAGGAGGAGCUUGCUCUUCUGGAUGAGUUGCGAACGGGUGAGUAACGCGUGGGUAACCUGCCUGGUAGCGGGGGAUAACUAUUGGAAACGAUAGCUAAUACCGCAUAACAGUAGAUGUUGCAUGACAUUUGCUUAAAAGGUGCAAUUGCAUCACUACCAGAUGGACCUGCGUUGUAUUAGCUAGUUGGUGGGGUAACGGCUCACCAAGGCGACGAUACAUAGCCGACCUGGGAGGGUGAUCGGCCACACUGGGACUGGGACACGGCCCAGACUUCUACGGGAGGCAGCAGUAGGGGAACUUCGGCAAUGGACGGAAGUCUGAACGAGCAACGCCGCGUGAGUGAAGAAGGGUUUCGGAUCGUAAAGCUCUGUUGUAAGAGAAGAACGAGUGUGAGAGUGGAAAGUGCACACUGUGACGGUAGCUUACCAGAAAGGGACGGCUAACUACGUG